UACGGAGGGGGCUAGCGUUGUUCGGAAUUACUGGGCGUAAAGCGCACGUAGGCGGCUUUGUAAGUUAGAGGUGAAAGCCCAGGGCUUAACCCUGGAAUUGCCUUUAAGACUGCUUCGCUAGAAUCGUGGAGAGGUGAGUGGAAUUCCGAGUGUAGAGGUGAAAUUCGUAGAUAUUGGGAAGAACACCGGUGGCGAAGGCGGCUCACUGGCUCGUAACUGACGCUCAUGCACGACAGCGUGGGGAUCAAACAGG
rnacentral:rRNA from 1 species